GCAUGGCAAUGGAUUUAUGGUGGGGUCUCUUCAGUGAUCCUCUCAUAGUGUACCCCAUGCUACAGGAAUGUCAGAUCCGAACCAUUGGUAGGGCUUCUGUGAUUGGCCGGACCACUGAAGUGAGCUGUACAGUU